GUGGGCAGCGCAGUUGCAAACCUCUACCUCCCGGCAGAGGAGGCUGCAGAGGCUGGCUUUCCAAAACUCUGCCCCCUCCGCUGCUGCCAAGUGGCUGGUGUCAAGUCCCAUCCCACGUG
rnacentral:precursor_RNA from 1 species